UGAUGACGCGUGGGAGAGACUGACCCACCCAGGGCAGCGCCGAAGGGGCAAUUCCUCCCCGGAACCUCUCAGGCACCCAGGACCACGCGGGCGAG
rnacentral:ncRNA from 2 species